CAGAUCUGCAAGUUUAGGAAAUGUGAAGAGCUUAAGAAAAAACCUGGCACUUCGCUAGAGAGAACACCUGUUCCCAGCGCUGAAGCAUUCCGAUGGUUCUUUUAAGCAGUAGUGUAUCUUAUUUUCAAGGCAGUCCGAAGUGAAUGGCAAGCUAAAGUCUUGUUUUAAGAAACUGCUUAGUCCACCAUUGAAGAAUAUACUCAGAUACUAUUUUCAUUUCUGUAUAGGGGUUUCCUCAAAAGCAAAAGACAAAAAUCUGGGAGCCUGGGGAAUUGGCUGGCUUAUUCACAUUCAGUACACUGAUUCUUUCUUUGAUGUAACUUAGCUAUACUAGUGAAGUUGUUGUCUAUUUUUAAAGUGGCUGUAAAAAAAAAAAAAAAAAAGUUUGGGUAAACCCCUGCUAUAAAGUCAUGUAUCUUUGAAAAGUAACAUAUCUAUACUUCAUUUUCAAAUAUAUGUGUUUCAGUACUGUAAACUGUACAGAUAGCCGCUUGUAUUUUGUGUGUUUAGACACAAGGAGACAAUCAUGUCUGAGCAUCUAUGGAGAUUAACGGUUUGUACACAACGGUGUGGUUCUACAAGUUAAAUCCGGAGCAAUAAAUCCUAGCUUUAAAUAUUA